ensembl:lncRNA
GUCCAUACUGGUCCAUACUGGUGUUGGAAUGGGUUGGACAAUGGGUUCUCCUGGGAUCUUCUAUUGGUUCCUAUGGCUCUCUAUUGACCCCUAUGGGUCUCUAUUGGUCUAUACUGGUUUCUACUGGUCCAUACUGGUUUCUACUGGUCCAUACUGGUCUAUACUGGUCUAUACUGGUCUAUACUGGUCCAUACUGGUCCAUACUGGUGUUGGAAUGGGUUGGACAAUGGGCUCUCCUGGGAUCUUCUAUUGGUUCCUAUGGGUCUCUAUUGACCUCUAUGGGUCCGUUGUGGCCCAUACUGUUCUAUACUGGUCCAUACUGGUCCAUACUGGUCUAUACUGGUUCCUACUGGUCCAUACUGGUCUAUACUGGUCCAUACUGGUUUAUACUGGUCCAUACUGGUCCAUACUGGUGUUGGAAGGGGUUGGACAAUGGGCUCUCCUGGGAUCUUCUAUUGGUUCC